GGGUUUUAAAAUUAACUUAGAUAUUUAAAAACUUAUGGACGAUUAAUUAAAAACUAUUGUAAGUUAUUUAAUUAAUGCUAAGUGCUGUGAGUGAUGUGAGAGGAAGAAGAUAAGAGUCAAUCAAUCACAAACACAAGAUUUUAUAGUGGUUCGGAGCUAACCCUUGCUCCUACGUCCACUCCCCAAGUCACACUUGGGAAUUUCACUA
rnacentral:lncRNA from 1 species